rnacentral:rRNA from 1 species
GACGUAGGGCGCGAGCGUUGUCCGGAAUCAUUGGGCGUAAAGAGCGUGUAGGCGGCCCGGUAAGUCCGCUGUGAAAGUCCAGGGCUCAACCCUGGGAUGCCGGUGGAUACUGUCGGGCUCGAGUCCGGAAGAGGAGUGUGGAAUUCCUGGUGUAGCGGUGAAAUGCGCAGAUAUCAGGAGGAACACCAAUGGCGAAGGCAGCACUCUGGGACGUGACUGACGCUGAGACGCGAAAGCGUGGGGAGCAAACAGG